CGGGAGCCUCCCGGCAGCCGCGAUCCCGGGACUCAGCCGCAGAGCCGCCGCGCUCUCGGGCUAGCGAGCAGCCGGGCGCCUUCUGCCGCUCCUGGCCUCCGCCUCCUCGCGGCCUCCCUCCGCCUCCUCCCCGCGCCCGGCCCGCCCUCUCCCCCGCCGAGGUGGAGAUGUGCUGCAUAAGCACAAUGCUGAAGCCUACAUCGCCACACGAGUUCCAGAUGACACCGUAAACGUGAAUGGUGACAGCCUCCCCACCCGGGUCUUGGAUUCACAAUUGCAGCGCUCUGUGCACAGGUGCACACAUCCAUGCUCUCCAGGAGACACACGGCUCCCUCUCCGGCUGGGGCGCCAACCUUGCCCAGCCGAGCUAUAUAAAUAACACCAGCCCUGCAGCAAACGCUGCAUUAGCAUAUUUUCUCCCCCCCACCCCGGCCCACACCAGUGAGAAACGCAGCACCUUUCACCCUAGCGUCCCCACACGUUUAAGACAUUUCAUAUUCCGAGUUUAUUAAUGGAAGUCUUAAAUGGAGCAAUCCAUUUCCAGUCUUAUUUGGGGCAAAAAAAAAAAAGUGAAAGAAAUGCUUUUGCUUUCCAAAAGAAUACACUGUAAGCUGCAUAUACUGAAUGUGUUCUUUUGCAUGCUUUACUAUUUGCUCAGCUACCUGCUGGAUAAUCUAAUGUAAGAGGCUUUGAACCUUCAGGGAGUUUGGUGUUGUGGGCACUGGGACUGUUCCGGAGACUGCCAGGGGGCCGGGCCUCGGGGCAGUGGGCGAGGAACAUCCCUGAGGGGCUGGGAAGGGGACAGGAGAUAACAGGCUGAAGCUGAAGGGGGCAGGGCUGCAGGACACUCCAAACCUUUGAGGAAUGGGUCUCAAAUCCCGCCAUAUUUCAGAUGCUGUUGCACACUGCUAUGUGGUAAUGAUUUCUUUUCCAGCCCCACGGUAUUUAUUAGCUUCAGCGUUUACUUCCCUCCCUCCCUUCUCACAAGAGGAGCUAAUACAUGCAAAGCACCGAGGCCAUGCUUAGCCAUGUUAGCCAUUUAUUACAGGAGAUGUGAUUGAAAAAUAUGGUGAAUAUUUAAACAUUUUAUUACAGAAAAGACAAUUUGCCACAAAUCCCCCUCAAAAUACCCCCACUCCCUUUGAACACACGUAUCCCACCCUCUCGCCUCUCUCUGAAGCACUUCUGGAAGUCCUUGUUCAUGAGUGCCUUUAGUUGCGAUGUUGUGGCUGCCUUCAUGACCUGAAUCUAUUCAAAGGUUUUCCUUUCAUGGUCAUUUUGACUUUGGGGAAGAGCUGGAAGUCGUACGGUGCCAGCUGGGGUGAGUAAGGUGGGUGAGAACAUGGUGUCAUGUUUUUAUGAGCUGCCUUUCUGUUGGAUGGCACCUGGUCGUUACAUUCACUCCACUCUCCAUCACACUUGGUAAAGACACUGUCACGCUUUCUGCAACUGUCACGAACCAUCUGCAUUUCUCUUUCUAAAUUCAAACGUAACAUUUUAUUUACUUUGCCUUCAGUGUUGUUUCUUCCUCAAAGAGGACUUUUCUGUGUUUGACUCUGCCUCUUUUUCCCGAAUGUCGCAAGGACCCAUUUGCUUGUUUUAAUUCACUGCAAAACAGGCGCAGCCAUUGAUCUUGAUAAUGGCUGUUCUAACUAGAGUAAUAGUCGGACCACACCUUUCAGGAUUGGCUUUCAAGUCACCCUCUCCUUGCAUCUUCGCCUUGCGGAUGCAGCGGGGAGAGUUCAGUGCCAGCUGUUAGGACGGACGGAGUUACCCCCUGCAGGUUGGAGUCCAGUCCUUUGGGAUUGGACAUUCCAAGCUUGCUCCUUCUCCAAGUGGGGUGGAGGCUGCUUACAAAAGCACAGGAAAGCCUUUAAGAAGAUACUCAUUUAAAGGAAGGAGUAUGACUGAUGUAUUCACUUCCUUGACUGUAGUGAUUAUUUCACUGUAUAUGUAUGUGUCCAAACAACCUGUACCCCUCAAAUGUAUACAGUAAAAGUAAAUUAAAAGCUUUACAAAAGGAAAAUAAAGUUCUGUUUGCCCUGUGGGAGGGAUAUUUGUUAAUGUGCCUUUUGAAGCGGGAGAAUCCCUAGCCCUGAAGGAAGAGCUUAUUUUGCAGCUAGUAGUCUUUGUUUCAGACAGGUGAUAAAGACCCUCAGAGGGUCCAUUCCCAGAGUCUGGACACACGCACACCAGAGAAUGGUACUCUCUAAAAUGUAAGCUGGAAGGAAUCAACGCAGGAUACUUGGAG
ensembl:lncRNA